UACGUAGGAUGCAAGCGUUGUCCGGAUUUAUUGGGUUUAAAGGGUGCGUAGGCGGCCUAUUAAGUUAGUGGUGAAAACGUUCGGCUUAACCGGAUACCCGCCAUUGAUACUGAUAGACUUGAGUGCGACAGAGGGUGUUGGAAUGUGUGGUGUAGCGGUGAAAUGCUUAGAUAUCACGCAGAACACCAAUUGCGAAGGCAGAUGCCUAUGUCGUAACUGACGCUGAGGCACGAAAGCAUGGGGAUCGAACAGG
rnacentral:rRNA from 1 species